GUGUCAGCCGCCGCGGUAAGACAGAGGGUGCAAACGUUGCUCGGAAUCACUGGGCGUAAAGGGCGUGUAGGCGGAUCGGCAAGUCGGGCGUGAAAUCCCCAGGCUCAACCUGGGAACUGCACUCGAAACUGCCUUUCUUGAGUGCCGGAGAGGAAAGCGGAAUACCUGGUGUAGAGGUGAAAUUCGUAGAUAUCAGGUGGAACACCAGUGGCGAAGGCGGCUUUCUGGACGGUAACUGACGCUGAGACGCGAAAGCGUGGGGAGCAAACAGGAUUAGAAACCCUCGUAGUCC
rnacentral:rRNA from 1 species